rnacentral:lncRNA from 1 species
UUCCAUCUUGUCCCAUAUCUCGAUGAGCGGUUAACAGGUACGAAAUUUCUAUUAUUGUGUCAUCUUAAAUUUACUAAAUAUGUAUUGGUAUUUAUAGUUUAGUUGUACAAUGCCGCAUUAUCGAUGGAUUUGUAAUUUGAAUUUGUAGGUUUGCUUUUUUAGGGAGUAUAAAAAAUAAGACGAAAAAAAUUAUUGAUCGGUCCCGG